UCUUAAAUUUUUAUCUGAGGGAGGUGGAAACUAUUGGAAAGGUGGAAGUCAAAAGUUCUAAGAAAAAGGAAAGUAAACAUCAGCAUUUUGGUGAUCUUGAGAUGUGCAAGAUGAUACAAGACCAUAGCAGUGUCUGAUUCUGGAGAAUGAAAGGCUGCAAUAAUUGAUGCAUCAGAUGCCCUUCAUAACAGUGAUGAGGAUGGAGCCAGGCGCC